rnacentral:rRNA from 1 species
GACGAACGCUGGCGGCGUGCUUAACACAUGCAAGUCGAGCGGUAAGGCCCUUUCGGGGGUACACGAGCGGCGAACGGGUGAGUAACACGUGGGUGACCUGCCCUUAGCUCUGGGAUAAGCCUGGGAAACUGGGUCUAAUACUGGAUAUGACUCCACGGCGCAUGUUGUGGGGUGGAAAGCCUUGUGCGGCUGGAGAUGGGCCCGCGGCCUAUCAGCUUGUUGGUGGGGUGAUGGCCUACCAAGGCGA